GAUGAACGCUAGCGGGAGGCUUAACACAUGCAAGUCGAGGGGCAGCAUAGGGUAGCAAUACUCUGAUGGCGACCGGCAAACGGGUGAGUAACGCGUAUGCAACCUACCCUGUACAGGGGGAUAACCCGGAGAAAUUCGGACUAAUAUCCCGUAAUAAUAUCCGGAGGCAUCUUUGGAUAUUUAAAGUUCCGACGGUACGGGAUGGGCAUGCGUAACAUUAACUGGUUGGUAAGGUAACGGCUUACCAAGGCUAUGAUGUUUAGGGGUCCUGAGAGGGUGGUCCCCCACACUGGUACUGAGACACGGACCAAACUCCUACGGGAGGCAGCAGUGAGGAAUAUUGGUCAAUGGGCGCAAGCCUGAACCAGCCAUCCCGCGUGCAGGAAGACGGCCCUAUGGGUUGUAAACUGCUUUUCCAGGGAGAGAAACUUACGCACGUGUUGCGUGACUGACGGUACCCUGGGAAUAAGCAUCGGCUAACUCCGUGCCAGCAGCCGCGGUAAACUGUCUACG
rnacentral:rRNA from 1 species